CGCGUAGAUAAUCUACCUGAUGGACCGGGAUAACACUUCGAAAGGGGUGCUAAUACCGGAUAAGCCCACGGAGUCCUUGGACACUGCGGGAAAAGGGGGGACCUUAGGGCCUUCCGUCAUCAGAUGAGUCUGCGUACCAUUAGCUAGUUGGUAGGGUAAAGGCCUACCAAGGCUACGAUGGUUAGCUGGUCUGAGAGGAUGAUCAGCCACACUGGAACUGAGACACGGUCCAG
rnacentral:rRNA from 1 species